rnacentral:tRNA from 1 species
GGGGAUUUAGCUCAAUGGUAGAGCACUUGCCUAGCAAGCACAAGGGCCUGGGUUCGGUCCCCAGCUCCG